GUCAGAAUCCCCUGGAGGGCUUGUUAAAAACACAAAUUGCUAAUUUAGGAGGUCUUGGAUGGGGCUGGAGUAUUUACAUUCUAACAAGUUCCCAGGUGAUGCUGAU
rnacentral:miRNA from 1 species